AUCCAGAGCUAGGCUGGUCUAGGUAACAGACUACGGGGCUAACAGGAUUAAAUCCAGAGCUAGGCUGGUCUAGGUAACAGAUUAGCUCACAUUCCACCAGUUAUCCCAAGCUCCUACUACCUAGCCACUGCAUGUAGCCGUAUGGUAACAGUUACAUUCACUGGGCAGAAGUUUCACCAUGUUGCCUUCACUAGUCCUCAUCAUCUACAGGAGUGCAUGGAGUGAGGAGCUGGGGGUCCACUUUGGAGCAUCUAUCUAGCGUAUUAUGUAAAACACUUCAAAAACAGUAUAAUAAAAUGUAUUUCUUUUAACAAUACUUUUCACUACAAUAACCAUUCCACAAUAGUAGUAAACACUAGUCAAGGGACGAAGGGGGGGAGAGGGAGUGCAGAGGGGUCUGGUUUAGUAAGCGAUAAAGUCUUCAUCGUCGUAGCAGGAGGCUGGUAGGUUGGGAGGCUCAGAGGUCACUGUGAAGGGAAGACACAGGGUCUGGUGUGGUGGUGCAACGUGCUCACAACAGAACACAUGACCUCUUUAUUGACAGAUCUGCAGCGUACAGCAGCAACCAAACACAACCCUGUCGCCACGGGUUACCUACCAUGCCAUACAGUCAGCCCGGUUAGAACCCUGUGAUGUCAUAAUAGAUCAUUUCAAUGAUGUCGUAAUAGUCUCUGAUGUCGUUAUGCUAUUAUCAUCAUUGCAAUGUUUGUAUUUUUAUUUUUAUUAUUUUUUUACUCUGUACCAAACAUGGUCGUGGAUUCAUCAUAGUAUAUACACAUUACACCUAGUUUACCUUUAAGUUAAAAAUUAAGAAUUAAAAAUUCUGGCAAAGUAGACAAAAUGCAUUGCAUUUCUAAGUAGUUUGUAGUAAAAAAAAAACGUUGUUGAGAGAACAAAGGAUCAACUAUGUCCAGUCCAUAUUAAUGUCAGAAUAAGAUGAGAACAACAUUAGGACAGGGAAAUAUCAGCAAUUAACCUUCGGUUCAGAACACUGUUGAGCACCAAAAUAUUGACUGAUUUACCCCCCCC